UGGGGUAUAGCUCAGUGGUAGAGCACUUGCCUGAUAGGAGUGAGGUCCUGGGUUUGAUUCCCAGCACUACAA
rnacentral:tRNA from 1 species